AGUGAACGCUGGCGGUAGGCCUAACACAUGCAAGUCGAACGGCAGCACAGGAGAGCUUGCUCUCUGGGUGGCGAGUGGCGGACGGGUGAGGAAUACAUCGGAAUCUACUCUGUCGUGGGGGAUAACGUAGGGAAACUUACGCUAAUACCGCAUACGACCUACGGGUGAAAGCAGGGGAUCUUCGGACCUUGCGCGAUUGAAUGAGCCGAUGUCGGAUUAGCUAGUUGGCGGGGUAAAGGCCCACCAAGGCGACGAGCCGUAGCUGGUCUGCGAGGAUUAUCCGCCACACUAGAACUGAGACACGGUCCAGACUCCUACGGGAGGCAGCAGUGGGGAAUAUUGGACAAUGGGCGCAAGCCUGAUCCAGCCAUACCGCGUGGGUUAAGAAGGCCUUCGGGUUGUAAAGCCCUUUUGUUGGGAAAGAAAUCCAGCUGGCUAAUACCCGGUUGGGAUGACGGUACCCAAAGAAUAAGCACCGGCUAACUUCGUGCCAGCAGCCGCCGUAA
rnacentral:rRNA from 1 species